AUGAUGAAGGAGCUCACUGACCUGCUCGGCACGAUCGCCGUGAGCGACGUUUUUCCGAGACUAGGGUGGCUGGUGGACUGGGCGACGGGGCUCCAAGCGAGUGUGAAGAGGACGGCGGCCAAGCUCGACAGUAUUAUGGAGAGGACGAUCACGGAGCACGAGGAGGACCCAGGAAACGACGACGGCGAGGCUCCGGACCUCCUGGACGACUUGCUCUUGAUCGCCAAGGAUGGUGACCAGGGGUUUAAGCUGGACCGGAUCGAUGUGAAGGGAGUCAUCUUAGACAUGUUCAUAGCAGGCACCGACACGACCUACAAGACGAUAGAAUGGACCAUGGCCGAGCUCAUCAAGAAUCCAAGAGAAAUGGCAAAGGUGCAAUCAGAGGUGAGACAGGUUGCUGAAGGUGUGCACGGAGGACUCCUCGAGGAGGAGCUGGAAAAGAUGAGCCUCCUGCAGGCGGCAUGA
rnacentral:rRNA from 1 species